rnacentral:rRNA from 1 species
UCGAGGAUAUUUAGCAAUGGGCGAAAGUCUGAUCCAGCGACGCCGCGUGGAGGACGAAGGUUUUCGGAUUGUAAACUCCUUUUACAGGGGACGAAAGCCCGCAAGGGUUUGACAGUACUCUGUGAAUAAGCCACGGCUAACUACGUGCCAGCAGCCGCGGUAAUACGUAGGUGGCGAGCGUUACUCGGAAUUACUAGGCGUAAAGCGCGUGUAGGCGGGAACUUAAGUCUGUCGUGAAAGCUCAGGGCUCAACCCUGAAAUGUCGACAGAUACUGGGUUUCUUGAGUGCGGUAGGGGAGAUUGGAAUUCCAGGUGUAGCGGUGAAAUGCGUAGAUAUCUGGAAGAACGCCAAAGGCGAAGGCAGAUCUCUGGGCCGUUACUGACGCUGAGACGCGAAAGCUAGGGGAGCAAACAGG